rnacentral:rRNA from 1 species
ACGGUAACAGGAAGCAGCUUGCUGCUUCGCUGACGAGUGGCGGACGGGUGAGUAAUGUCUGGGAAACUGCCCGAUGGAGGGGGAUAACUACUGGAAACGGUAGCUAAUACCGCAUAACGUCGCAAGACCAAAGAGGGGGACCUUCGGGCCUCUUGCCAUCGGAUGUGCCCAGAUGGGAUUAGCUUGUUGGUGAGGUAACGGCUCACCAAGGCGACGAUCCCUAGCUGGUCUGAGAGGAUGACCAGCCACACUGGAACUGAGACACGGUCCAGACUCCUACGGGAGGCAGCAGUGGGGAAUAUUGCACAAUGGGCGCAAGCCUGAUGCAGCCAUGCCGCGUGUAUGAAGAAGGCCUUCGGGUUGUAAAGUACUUUCAGCGGGGAGGAAGGGGAUGUGGUUAAUAACCGCAUUCAUUGACGUUACCCGCAGAAGAAGCACCGGCUAACUCCGUGCCAGCAGCCGCGGUAAUACGGAGGGUGCAAGCGUUAAUCGGAAUUACUGGGCGUAAAGCGCACGCAGGCGGUCUGUCAAGUCGGAUGUGAAAUCCCCGGGCUCAACCUGGGAACUGCAUUCGAAACUGGCAGGCUUGAGUCUCGUAGAGGGGGGUAGAAUUCCAGGUGUAGCGGUGAAAUGCGUAGAGAUCUGGAGGAAUACCGGUGGCGAAAAGGCG